ACAAAUGAACUUCGUUUGUAUGAGAUAGCUGCGGGAAAAAUUGUCCUGAACAUUUCUGUGCCAGCAAAAUAUUUUGUUAUCACCUAAAUUGACAGAUUCCAAAAUUUUAAAUGUCAUUAUCCGCAUUAACCUCUAAUCUGUGUACUGCGUAACUGUCGCUACGAUUUUUUGGAUAACUCUGUUGGUCUGACGAAAAGGUGUUCCAAGCAAGAGUUAAUUAGUUCUCAGCCGACCACAAAUUGCUGUAUAAAAAAUUUCGAAAAAGUUGUUUUCUCGACAAGAUAUCAAGCGUAUGAACAUCAAAUUCCAUUUGGUACACUGGUAUGGAUAGAUGAACGCGACGGCUUUCUGUGAGCGAAUUCCUUCAGUAUACGAUCAAGAAUUUGAUAUCUCGGCGCUAAUAAGUUCCAUGCGAGUGAAAACGCGCGCUCGCGAUUUCUCCCCUAAUUUAUUAUACUUGGUCUGGUAAUGAUUGCUGUAUCAGCGCGCACAGCAACACUCGCGACACCUAUUUUCGACUUUUAUUGGAGACAGAAAGAUUUCUAAUUGAAAUAAGGAAGGUGGUUCAUAGGCAUGUAAGACAGAUUUUCCAAAAAUUGCCUGAUCAAAAAGACACUUACUUGAUCCGCUUGGGACCCAUUUGAUGCCGAUCCACCAUAACGAGAACAUAGUGGAGUGAUGGUAAACAUGGAGGAAGCUUAGUUGAUUGUUCUUCUUCCGGAGGAUGAAGAAGAACGUAUCACAAAACUCGAGGAGUUUGCUGAAGUAGUACCACCAAACUGCGUGAGCGAUCUGCCGAUGGAAAGAAAAAAAAUAUGUAUACAUUGAAAUUGAUAUGAAAUUUUAGCGUAUAGAUUUUACCGCACCUGUACUUCGUCUGGACGCGUCACCUGUCUGAUCGGCUGGCAGACGUAACUGUAACUUAACCUGGUGGAUGCUACAAACAACUGGAAAUUACAAAUCUCUUUAAUGCCGAUCGUACCUUUUAUUUUCAAUAAAUUUGGGGAUACUGAUAUAAUACUUUCUAACUUUCUAUAAAAUUCUCGGAGCUAUAUUCUUUCUACUAUAAAUCUCUUGCUAUAAAUUUCUAUUCGCUUCUACAAUUUGUAUAGGAAGUUAUUAUUUGUUGUAAAUGUCCGCAGUGUGCGAGUAUUCACGGCAAAUGGUAAAACUAUAAGUACAAUAGAAUUUGAGAGACCUCGCUAAAGAGUUGUCAACAUAUUUAAGUGAAAAUUUAACUGGAAAUAAAAUACGCGAGAAUUUCAGCUUUCAUUUGGCCAACAGUUGCGAAUCUGUCAACUUUGCCAAUCUAGUUGCGAAAUAAAUACAAUUAAUUAAUUUACAGAUGCAAUGUGUUAUGCGCCAAACGUCUUCCAUGGUUUUCUGUUUCGUUUAUUAUUGCCAGAAAUGUAUAGCAUUGUUCAGGUACCGCAGAAACAAUAAUCAAGGAAAAUUAUGUUUGUAAUAUCUUGUAACUUCGUCAGACUUCAGACACCUACAGCGAUAAAACGGUACUUAAUGUUGCAGUAGAAGAGUUCGGCUAAUCAAAUCCGAACGAAACCUGAUUUCUACAUCUGCGAACUGUGUCAGUAGUCACCGCGGUGGCAAACCGACACACGUUCACCGUUCAAUUAGCAUUCCACCGGAGAUUCCUCCGACAAGGCUCGAUGAUCGCUUGAUCAUCGGUUGAUCAGCGCCGGAUUGUCGGAUCGAGCGUAACGAUGAUAAACCCGCGACAGCCGUGACCGUUAGGACACCUUGUGCAACUGAUGUUGAUGUGGAAAUCGGGGACGAGAGGAGAAACACGAGUGGUAGAAAGCAAAGAGAUUGUGUAUAUGUACCUGAAUGGCGAUGUACGCGUUCAGACAGGCCAUCGAGAGAUUAUAGGGUACGAGGGCCCAGGUCAGCUUGAACGCUUUCCGAUUUCUCAUGAUCUUUGGCCCGGCCCACACUAUCAGCAGAUACAACAUCGUGUAGAUCAAAGUAGGCUUCGGCGAAUCGACCAGCAGCCAUCCUCUCGUUCGUUCGUCUAGGAAAACCCAAUGCAAUCAUGCUGCAAUUAAUCGUGGGUCGCCACGGACAUUGUAAAACACCUGGCAAACUGUAGGACAUUGUCUCCUAAAUUUCCGAUGCUGUUGCAAGGAAUAGUAUAAUGAUUAGACUGCGGAUUAUUAUGCAAAACGCAAAUUCGCUGCAUCAAUUGCAAAAAGUUUGAAGUGCACACAGAUUUAUUUAUUCUUCUAUUAAUUUUGAGAAGUCACGAAGAAUGUAAUAGCAUCUUUAUAUUUUUUGACAGUUUUCGCUAUUGUACAUUUGACGUGUCCAUUUUGAUCAUAAGUGCAUAAAGAUCCGCAAUCUAAUAAUGAUACUGGAGCCUAACGCUGAUGGCAAAAGUAGCUUUAUCGAGCCCGGUUAUUUGAUGCAAAGCGUGAUCUUCCGUGUAUCGUAAUUUUCAGGAUUUCUAAUAGUUGGUGAAAUGUUCCAUAAAAAAUAUAUCUAAUAUUUUAUGUAAUGCGAUGAUAAAUAAUAUAUGGUAAAUAAUAACGGAUGAUGAAGUGAGA